CAGCCGCCACGGUAAUACGUAGGUGGCAAGCGUUGUCCGGAAUUAUUGGGCGUAAAGCGCGCGCAGGCGGAUCAGUCAGUCUGUCUUAAAAGUUCGGGGCUUAACCCCGUGAUGGGAUGGAAACUGCUGAUCUAGAGUAUCGGAGAGGAAAGUGGAAUUCCUAGUGUAGCGGUGAAAUGCGUAGAUAUUAGGAAGAACACCAGUGGCGAAGGCGACUUUCUGGACGAAAACUGACGCUGAGGCGCGAAAGCCAGGGGAGCGAACGGGAUUAGAGACCCCCGUAGUCCCUGUCUCUUAUACC
rnacentral:rRNA from 1 species